GAUGAAGAACGUAGCGAAAUGCGAUAAGUAGUGUGAAUUGCAGAAUUCAGUGAAUCAUCGAAUCUUUGAACGCACAUUGCGCCCUUUGGUAUUCCUUAGGGCAUGCCUGUUCGAGCGUCAUCUAAACCUUCAAGCUCAGCUUGGUGAUGGGCGACUGUUCCCCCCCCCUCGCGGGGGGGACUCGCCUCAAAAACAUUGGCGGCCGGUACAUUGGCUUCGAGCGCAGCAGAAACGCGGUCUCGAGCCCGGUGGAUCGGCUCCCAUAAGCCUAUUCUUUUAUUUUGACCUCGGAUCAGGUAGGGAUACCCGCUGAACUUAAGCAUAUCAAUAAGCGGAGGA
rnacentral:misc_RNA from 1 species